rnacentral:rRNA from 1 species
AUUGAACGCUGGCGGCAUGCUUUACACAUGCAAGUCGAACGGCAGCGCGGGGCAACCUGGCGGCGAGUGGCGAACGGGUGAGUAAUAUAUCGGAACGUACCCAGAAGUGUGGGAUAACGUAGCGAAAGUUACGCUAAUACCUCAUACGAUCUACGGAUGAUUGUAGAGGACCGCAAGGCCUUAUGCUUUUGGAUCGGCCGAUAUCUGAUUAGCUCGUUGGUGAGGUAAAGGCUCACCAAGGCGACGAUCAGUAGCUGGUCUGAGAGGACGACCAGCCACACUGGAACUGAGAAACGGUCCAGACUCCUACGGGAGGCAGCAGUGGGGAAUUUUGGACAAUGGGCGCAAGCCUGAUCCAGCAAUGCCGCGUGAGUGAAGAAGGCCUUCGGGUUGUAAAGCUCUUUUGUCAGGGAAGAAACGGUAGAGGCUAAUAUCCUUUGCUAAUGACGGUACCUGAAGAAUAAGCACCGGCUAACUACGUG